UACGUAGGGUGCAAGCGUUGUCCGGAAUUAUUGGCGUAAAGAGCUCGUAGGCGGUUUGUUGCGUCGGCUGUGAAAACCUGAGGCUCAACCUCAGGCCUGCAGUCGAUACGAGCAGACUAGAGUGUUGCAGGGGAGACUGGAAUUCCUGGUGUAGCGGUGAAAUGCGCAGAUAUCAGGAGGAACACCGGUGGCGAAGGCGGGUCUCUGGGCAACAACUGACGCUGAGGAGCGAAAGCAUGGGGAGCGAACAGG
rnacentral:rRNA from 1 species